rnacentral:lncRNA from 1 species
ACAUUCCACCCAGCCUGACUGCUCUGGAAGGAAGAAUCCCUGCAAGGUGAGUGUUAUUAUAUCCAUUUGUGGACCAGGACUGCGGCUCAGAAGCUUUUCCCAGGACACUGAACUCUGACAGGUGAAUAGCUGCCAAGUGGUGGAGGUUGGCCUGCAGUGAGCAUCAGUCUGACUUCGAAGGACAGAAUGACACAUGGUACAAGCUUUCUGUCUUACUGCCACACGUCAGUGUCCUGGGAGAUGAACCAGAUGCAGGUGAUGCCGAAGAGGUGACGGGGCCAGGGCUGGGGCAUGAGCACUGGUCAACACUGACACUCAACAGCUCCCAUCUGGCUUGUGUGUGAGCACCCGAGUGUAGCUCAAGGCAGGGACAAUAUUUGCUGGAAGUUUAGGUGUUCCCUAGGCGUCCUAGCUAGGCAGAGGAGGGAAUGAAGAUAGGUUUUGCAAGUAGAAAUAAAAAAGAAGCACUAUUAUAGCAUGAUAACAUUUCCUAAAGUCAUUUUAUGAACCAUUUUUGGUUAAUUAAAAAAAAAAAAAGCCGAUCUAUAUGUCAUGGCUGAGACAUUGAUUAGCAAGGUGCUACUUUUACAGAUGAAAGAACUAAAAACAAGAAAGACAAUGAUUCGCGCACAGUGAUUUGCUGGAGAUUGAUUGGCAAGUGUGAGCCAGACCUGGAGUAGAAUUCAACAUGUCUGGUGCCUGCUCCAGAACUCUGACAAUGAAAAGGAGUCCAGAUUUUGAGAAUGAAGAAGGUUUCAAAAGCUAAGCCAGCUUCCCUUUCACAGAGGUUCAGCUGGUCAGGCUUCUUUCAAAUCCACGCCCUGUUACGGGAGAGCACGGUGCUAGGAGCGUGUGGGAGGGGCAGCCCUGAGCCAACACUCCCUCUAGAAAAACAUCCUAAGGCCAUAUCAUGGUGACAACGGGACAGGAUUAUUAUAUUCCUAUUGGAAGGAUCACACUGUUAUGUUAUCAUUUCCUUUAGGAAAUACCCACAUCCCCAAACUACUUAGUGAUUAUGAGUCCCUACAGAACAAACAACCCUCACCUUAGACCAAAGAAAUAUGUCUCUCAGUCAAACAAAUGUACGUAGAAUCAGUGAGCGCAAAGCCCUACCUCAAAUAAGUUCAGAAGCCCCUCAAAAUGAGGUCCCGUGAUAGAGUUUCAGUAACUCUAAUGUCCCUAGUUGAGCUAACCAUCUGGCAUGGCAAACUCAUGGGCCAGUGAAUACUCGGUACUUUGCAGAUUCACAGUUUUUGUCUCUGCUUCUAUCCGACCAUACCUCUGCCCAGCUCCCUGCAAUCUGCCUGCUCUUUUGGUCAUUGAAUGACAGCGUAUCCCAGAGUGACUUUUGGGAGCUAUUUUUGAGCUUACCCAUAUUUGUAGUUCCCCAACUCACCGGGAAUGGAGGCUGGGUGAGUAGCAGAGGAACGUGCCUAGAUGUGACAAAAGAGUGGGGUAGAUGUAUUAAAUGAAUAUUCAAUGAGAACCCACUGUACGCCAAGCCCUUUUCUAGUCCAGGAAACUCAGCAAUGAGCAAAGUCAUAAAAAUCCCUUCUCUCAUAGAAUUUACAAUUUGGGAUGUGUGUGUGUGUGUGUGUGUGUGUGUGUGUGUGUGUAUGUGUGUGUAUGACACAUACACACAUUAGGGACAGGGUGGGUAAGAUAUAAUGACUAAAAUGUGUGGAAAACUUCAUAUGGUAUAUUAAAAGAAAAUAAAAGUCCAGGCACGGUGGCUCACGCCUGUAAUCCCAGCACUUUGGGAGGCUGAGGCAGGUGGAUCACCUGAGGCCAGGAGUUUGAGACCAGCAUGGCCAACAUGAUGAAACUCUGUCUCUACUAAAAAUACAAAAAUUAGCCAGGGAUGGUGGCGCAUGCCUGUAAUUCCAGCUACUUGGGAGACUGAGGUAGGAGCAUCGCUUGAACCUGGGAGGCGGAGGUUGUGGUGGGCCGAGAUUGCGCCACUGCACUCCAGCCUGAGCAAUAGAGAGAGACUCCAUCUCAAAAAUAAAUAAAAUAAAAUAAAAUAAAGUAAGUACUAUGGGGUGAAACUAGGAAAAGGGGAUAGGAGGCUUUGAGGUGGAAGGUGAUAGCUGUAAUUUAAAUAAAGUGAUAAAACUCAGUGAGAAGGUUACAUUUGAGUAAAAACUUGAAGAAAAAGUAACAAGCCGUAAGGUCAUAUGGGGAAGAGCAUUCCAGCCCCCAAAACAGCAAGUGCAGAAGCUCUAGCUAGGGCCACCCUGAUGCCCAUUUUCAGGGUGUGCUAUUCUCAUGGUACCCUAUGUAGGUGGUGUCCACUGGGAUUGUGUUAUGAACAAUGUGCAUUGGAAAACAUGGCAGACCCGUCAUAAAGCAGGAACAGCAAGGAGGCCUGGAAGGGUAGGGGGAGGCCAGAGAGAAAAUGGAGGGCCAGGUAUUUUCAGGCUCUUUCAACUAGCUCUGCUGGAAAGCUAGCUUACUGUCCAGGGAAUUUUUAGACAGUCCCUUUGCCCAUGUCUGCUGAUACCACAUGCCCUAAAAGCAGGUAGGCUGUGUCUAGCCUUCUUGGGUUUGAUAGUUGAUAAGUGAGCUCCAUGAGGGAGAUGUACAACUGAUGUGUCUUUGCAUGGCGGUUUUUUCAAUUCUCUAGCUCCCUGAUGAAUGUGGGAAUAAAAAUUUAUAUCAGAAUCGACACUGGUUAUAAUGUGAAUUUAUGACAUUACUUGAGAAUAUUCAAUUCUGCUGUAGAGGACAAAAAAAAUGGAAUAAUGAAAUCCAUCAUAAACCCUGGGCAUAGUUGAUGAUAAAAGUGCUGGCCAGGCGUGGUGGCUCAUGCCUGUAAUCCCAGCACUUUGGGAGGCCGAGGCGGGUGGAUUACCUGAGAUCAGGAGUUCAAGACCAGCCUGGCUAACAUGGCGAAACCCCGUCUCUGCUAAAAAUACAAAAAUUAGCUGGGUGUAGUGGCAUGCACCUGUAAUCCGAGCUAUCCAGGAGACUGAGACAGGAGAAUCGCUUGAACCUGGAGGCAGUAAGCCAAGAUCGCACCAUUGCAUUCCAGCCUAGGCGACAGAGCAAGACUCUGUCUCAAAAAAAAAAAAAAAAAAAAGUGCUCUGACGUUAUAUUAUGGUGUUGGUCGCACAACUUUGUGAAUAUAUGAGAAGUCAUGGAAUUGUAUACUUUCAAUGAAUAAAUUAUAAGGCAUACAAGUUAUAUCUCAAUAAAGCUGUUUGCUAAAUUUGGACGUCACUUUUUUUUUAAACAGCUUUGUUGAGGUAUAACUCUGGUGUUAUACGUUUAGUAUUUGUUUGUUCACCUCUAUCAUAAGCUAUAUAAGCUAUAUGUCUCUUAGGACUGGGAUCAUUUUUAUCAAUUGUUACACCUCCACUUCCUUGUAUAGUACUUUUUGCCCGAAUGUUAAUUUAAAAAUGUUUGUUGAAUGAUACAUUUUAGGCUAAAUGAAUACAGUUUGCAUCAGCAUUAGGGUAGACAUGUCACAUGUAGUCCACUAACCCUCCCCAAGUCUUUUAUGUGAGUUGUUGUUAAGCCAGGGCAAUUCUAUCCUGUACUUGGGCAGAAAUUUCUUGAAAAAAAUCAAAGUUAAGAGUUUACAUUUAUUUUAAAAUUUUUAUCAUGUUAGAACCCAUCAGUCAUUUUAGCCAGUUAAGUGUUUUUUUUUUUUUUUUUUUUUUUUGAGAUGGAGUCUUGCUGUUUUGCCCAGGCUGGAGUGCAGUAGUGCGAUCUUGGCUCACUGCAACAUCUGCCUCCCAGGUUCAAGUGGUUCUCCUGCCUUAGCCUCCCCAGUAGCUGGGGUGACAGGUAUGCACCAUGUUGCCCAAGUUUUUGCAUUAUUUAGUAGAGAUGGGGUUUCACCACAUUGCCCAGGCUGGUCUUGAACUCUUGACGUCAAGUGAUCUGCCCGCCUCGGCCUCCAAAGGUGCUGGGAUUACAGGCAUGAGCCACUGCGCCCAGCCAAGAUUUUCUUGGAUUUUUUUCUCUGUCAUUAAGUGUAGUCUCUAUUUCUACCUGCUUUGUACUACAAACCAAUUUAAAUAAGCAUGCUGUCUUUCUCCAUAAAAACAUUAAACUGUAGAACAAUGUUUUUAUGGAGAAAAAGAGCUAAAGUCACAUGCUGGUGGAGCAUAAAACGCUCACUUGAAGAACACCUUGGUAAUGGCUCCAGCUAACUGUACCAUGACCUAAUCCUGUGGCUGGAACCUCUGGGGAGUCUUAUCCACCUCCCCAAAUCCAUUUGACAAGCUCAGGUCCAAUACCACUUCUUUCAUGGGCUAUUCUCUGAUCUUCUCAGAAUGUCUAUCUUCUAUUGAAUUUGCCACAAUAUUUUGUUUGUACUACUCUUGAGACAUCCCACACAACCUUGAAUUAUAAUUGCUCACAUGGGUGUCUCAGCAUUUAUUCUAGACCAUAAGAUACUUAAAAGGAGGAAUUGUGAUUUCUUUGACAGUUUUGUCUCUUAGAAUUUAAGGGUGAGGGUGCUUAAUAAGUAUUAGAAAUAACGGAUAAGUAAAAUAUUCAGUGCUAUUAAAAAUACUAUUAAAUCUCAACACCUCCAGGGGUUACAUAUCUGAAAAAAGAUAUCAUACAUAUCUAUAUAAAUUCUAAAAUAAAUUGAAAUAGUCCAUAUCAAAAACCCUGCUGGAGUAGGUAACUCUUCACAAUCGACUUCAAUUAUUCAUGAUAUAAUUUUUGCAGGCACAUCAAAAAUUGUAUGUUUAGAGGUUAGAGGAUGAAUCCUCUUACAGUUUUCAAACCAGUCUGUACUAGCUUGAAAUGUAAUGUUUCUUGCACUUGAAUUUUCCCUGCUUUGUGUCUGCCAGUCUUGGCCCAAUGCUUGGGUACUUUUUUUAUGUUAUUGUGGUGCUUACAGGUGUUUUUCCAGCUGUGUUUUUCUAUCCUGAGGUUACAUCGGAGUAUGACAUGAUCAAACCUCUUCUUUGCACCAUGUCACAGAACCACCUUAAUGGAAGAGUGGACAAUAACUAUUGUGGUUUUCUCCUAUUUCAGGUGAUGGAAUGGAACCAUGUGUGUACAAAAAGAUACAGGAAUGUACAUAUUCAGUUUGCAAUAUAAAAACAUACACUGUGAUUGGAGAGGGAUUACAACAUUCUAAUUGCAAUUUUUGUCAUUUAUUCAAUAAAUAUUUCCUGGCUGGGUAUGAUGGCUCAAAGUGCCUGUAAUCCCAGCACUUUGGGAGGCCAAAGCAGGCAAAUCACCUGAGGUCAGGAGUUUGAGACCAGCCUGGCCACCAUGGUGAAACCCCAUCUCUACUAAAAAUACACAAAUUAGCUGGGUGUGGUGGUGCAUGCCUGUAAUCUCAGCUACCUGGGAGGCUGAGGCAGGAGAAUUGCUUGAACUCGGGAGGCGGAGGUUGCAGUGAGCUGAGAUUGCACCACUGCACCCCAGCCUGGGCAACAGAGUGAGACUCUGUCUCAAAACAAACAAACAAACAAACAAACAAAUUCCUGAGUGCCUACCAUAUGCUGAUUAAACUGUUCUAGAUGUUGGAGAUGCAGCUAUGGACAAGACAAAUACAGUCUCUUCUCUCCAGGAAUUUACCUUCUAAUGGAGGAGAGAGACAAAAACAACUUUGUACAUAAACCUUUUCUGAUAGUCAUUAAGAAAAUAAAGCAACAUGGUGUCCAAAUUCUAGAUUGCUCAUUUUAAAGGCUAGGGUGCCUAAAACCACAAGGAACAUUUCAGAAUUAGUAACAUUCAUACUUCGUAGAGCUAUACUUAGGCUAAUAAAUGUUUGGUAUUGUUGCCUCCCCAACAGCCACCUCAGACCACCUCCUGACUCCAAGUUUCCCUGCUCAUCAAUCCAAAAUUUUGUUGAAUAUACUACUUCCCCACCCCCAAUGGAGCUUAAGGGUUAACCUGAACUCUCUAAACCAAUCAGGGCAUUCCUACUGUCUUUGAUCGUGAGUGUUGUAGGCAGAGACAUAUAACCCAAUCCUUGCUAAUGAGACUUGAGGUAGGACCCCAGCUUCCGGAGAGGUUGCCUGGCUCCUAAAAAGAGAAAGAUACCGGAAAAGAGAUGGACUCUUCUACCACUGGAAAUCAGAUGGUGUCCUGAGUGACAUAAGUGUACUUACAACAGCCAUUUUGCAACCAUAAAGAAGCCAGUGGGAAUACACAGGCUACGUGUCCUCGAAGGCACAGAAGAAAGAAGAGAGAAAACUAUAUUCUUGAUGACACAGUUGAGCUACAGAAUUGUCCAACCCCGGAGGUGCCCCACUUCGCGUUGUGGGAGAUAAUGCAUUUUCCUUGCUGUUUAAACCACUUUGAGCUGAGUUUUCUAUUACCAGCAGCCUAAAGCAUUUUGACAGAUAAAAGUAGAUACAAAUGCACAUAUAUAAUGAGCAUCCUGACUGAACGAUUAAAUGUGUAUGUAGGCAUGCAUUACCUCCCCACUCCAUUUAUGAUUGUCACAUUUAUUUUUACUUCAGGGAAAAGCAACUAUAGAAUUUAAAAAAUCAGGAUUGAAAACAAAUACCUGAAUUUCCUACAAUUAAAAAAUCAAUCCAUUAAGUAGUGGUAUUAUGCUAAAAUAAAAUGAAUGCUUAGAAAUUUGUUAAGUGUUUAUGAUGUAAUAAGACAUCAAAUAAACCAUUUUUCUUUAAGUUCUUUAAUAAAAAAAAUCUGAUGUGGAGUCCAGUCUUUCAUUUUUAUCACUGGAAUAAAUAGAGAAUAGUCAUUGCAAUCAAUUGCCUGUUUGUUUCCCCAGAG